rnacentral:tRNA from 1 species
GGGGAUGUAGCUCAGUUGGGAGAGCGCGUGAAUGGCAUUCACGAGGUCAGGGGUUCGAUUCCCCUCAUCUCCACCA